rnacentral:rRNA from 1 species
GCAAAGUUGUGUAGUGCGAUCGGUGGAUGCCUUGGCACCAAGAGCCGAUGAAGGACGUUGUGACCUGCGAUAAGCCCUGGGGAGUUGGUGAGCGAGCUGUGAUCCGGGGGUGUCCGAAUGGGGAAACCUGGAAUGUCCGGAGUAGUGUCCGGUGGCCCUGCCCUGAAUGUAUAGGGGUGUGGGUGGUAACGCGGGGAAGUGAAACAUCUUAGUACCCGUAGGAAGAGAAAACAAGUGUGAUUCCGUGAGUAGUGGCGAGCGAAAGCGGAGGAGGCUAAACCGUGUGUGUGUUCAAGCCGGCAGGUGUUGCAUGUGCGGGGUUGUGGGGGCCUUGUGGUUCUGCUGCCGCAGGAUUGGCCAGUGAGAAAUGUUGCGUGAAGGUGAAGCGUCUGGGAAGGCGUACCGGAGUGGGUGAGAGUCCUGUAACUGUAAGCGUGGCACUGGUGUGGGGUUGCCCCGAGUAGCGUGG